ACGGCCAGGACUACAGGGGUAUCUAAUCCCUUUCGCUCCCCUGGCUUUCGUCCAUGAGCGUCAGUAAUGGCCCAGCAGAGCGCCUUCGCCACUGGUGUUCUUCCCGAUAUCUACGCAUUUCACCGCUACACCGGGAAUUCCCUCUGCCCCUACCAUACUCAAGCCUUUCAGUUUCCACUGCCAUGAUGGAGUUAAGCUCCACGCUUUAACAGCAGACUUGAAAAGCCGCCUGCGGACGCUUUACGCCCAAUAAUUCCGGAUAACGCUUGCCACUCCCGUAUUACCGCGGCUGCUGGCACGGAAUUAGCCGUGGCUUAUCCCUCAAGUACCGUCAUAUCUUCUUCCUUGAGAAAAGAGGUUUACAGCCCAGAGGCCUUCGUCCCUCACGCGGCGUUGCUCCGUCAGGCUUUCGCCCAUUGCG
rnacentral:rRNA from 1 species